rnacentral:rRNA from 1 species
ACUGAAGCCCGGACGUGACAGGAUGCGAGUGCCAGUGGGCCACUUUUGGUAAGCAGAACUGGCGCUGUGGGAUGAACCAAACGCUGGGUUAAGGCGCCCGAUGACAGACGCUCAUCAGAUCCCAUGAAAGGUGUUGGUUGCUAUAGACAGCAGGACGGUGGCCAUGGAAGUCGGAAUCCGCUAAGGAGUGUGUAACAACUCACCUGCCGAAGCAACUAGCCCUGAAAAUGGAUGGCGCUGUAGCGUCGAGCCCAUACCCGGCCGCCCCGGCUGUGCGCGGAAGCUUAUGCAGGGGUGAGUAGGAGGUGUCGCAGCGGCGUGCGUUGAAGGUGCCGGGCGUGGGCCCGCCUGGAGCCGCCGCUGGUGCAGAUCUUGGUGGUAGUAGCAAAUACUCAAGUGAGAACCUUGAGGACUGAGGUGGAGAAGGGUUCCAUGUGAACAGCAGUUGAACAUGGGUCAGUCGGUCCUAAGGGAUAGGAGAAAUCCGUUCCGAAGCGGGACCUGCGUGCACCGUUAGGUCCUGUGGUUGACCGAAAGGGAAUCGGGUUAAUAUUCCCGAACUCGGACGCGGAGAUCGGCCCCUCGGGGUCAACUGCGGUAACGCAACCAAACUCGGAGACGUCGAUCGGGGUCCCGGGAAGAGUUGUCUUUUCUUUGUAAGGGAUCGGCUCCCUGGAAUCGGCUCGCCCGGAGAUAGGGAUGCUGUUCCCGUAAAGCACCGCGGCUCUUGCGGUGUCCGGAGCGCUCCGGUCGGCCCUUGAAAAUCCGAGGGAGAGUGUGAUUUUCGUGCCGGACCGUACCCAUAUCCGCAGCAGGUCUCCAAGGUGAACAGCCUCUAGUCGAUGGAA